ensembl:lncRNA
ACUCAGUAUAACAGCCAUGCCUCUCCUGUGAUAUGUCUUAAUUAUCACAGAGGCGUAGCAAGGACAAACAACAGGUGUAGCUCAUUAAUUUAAUUAUGUGUCUGUAGGCGUGCCAGGGCCUAAUUAACAUCAUGAGACACACCUGUGUACGCCCCCAGGGUCACUGUAAUAACAACCCAGUAGCCAGAAAGUUGCUAUUUUAAAGUUUUUCGCAAACCACGGAAACGUUGAAACUCAGCGUUUCUGAACCAAAAUACGUUUGAUAUCAACGUCUCUAGACACCUUUUCGUAUGGGUUGGAACUGCUUAAAGGGACCCUAUUACACCAACAAGUUUGAGUGUGCCAGUGUGGGCAGCUUUUCAAACGGCUUUAUUGGCUAAUCACACUCAAACCUGGUUGCAUAAUCUGUUGGACCUUUAAGAAAUAACAAAAAAUGAUUGAUUCUUGGUUCCUGUGAUUGGAGCGGGAUGCUGUGACUUAAAGACUUUCAGACGACUAUCAAAAGGAAAGAACAGUUAUCUGUGACGAUGCAGACUACGGCUUCAAUGUCAACAUACAUACGAAGUGUUUCGACUGCUUAAAUGAACAGCUUCGUAUUCAGAAGGCCUUUUAUUCAAGUUUAAACAUUUUCUUUCCUGUAUAAAAUGAAUAAAUAUUGAAAAUGAUUACGCAUUGCGUUGUUGUACUGAUGGUGUUCUUUCUUCCUCAAUAGAUUACUCACUUUUUUUUUCAUGUAGUCAGAACCCUGUACUUAGUUUUCUUAGUGAAAAAGGUAACUUAGAACAGGACCAGGAAAAUUAGAUAAAAUUGUUUGUACGUCAAGGUUGCUGAGCACUGAAAUCAAGAAUACACUUCAUCUUAUCACAAGCAUUGUGUUGUAUGGCAAC